GUUCCUGUAGCACAUUGGAUAGUGCGUUAGAUUUCUAAUCCAAAGGUCGUGGGUUCAAAUCCCACCUGGGAUG